rnacentral:rRNA from 1 species
CCUACGGGUGGCAGCAGUGAGGAAUAUUGGUCAAUGGACGAGAGUCUGAACCAGCCAAGUAGCGUGAAGGAUGACUGCCCUAUGGGUUGUAAACUUCUUUUAUAUGGGAAUAAAACGUUCCACGUGUGGGAUUUUGUAUGUACCAUAUGAAUAAGGAUCGGCUAACUCCGUGCCAGCAGCCGCGGUAAUACGGAGGAUCCGAGCGUUAUCCGGUUUUAUUGGGUUUAAAGGGUGCGUAGGUGGGUUGUUAAGUCAGUUGUGAAAGUUUGCGGCUCAACCGUAAAAUUGCAGUUGAAACUGGCAGUCUUGAGUACAGUAGAGGUGGGCGGAAUUCGUGGUGUAGCGGUGAAAUGCUUAGAUAUCACGAAGAACUCCGAUUGCGAAGGCAGUUCACUGGACUGCAACUGACGCUGAGGCUCGAAAGUGUGGGUAUCAAACAGGAUUAGAUACCCCUGUAGUC